GCCGGGCGCGGUGGCUCAAGCCUGUAAUCCUAGCACUUUGGGAGGCCGAGACGGGCGGAUCACGAGGUCAGGAGAUCGAGACCAUCCUGGCUAACAUGGUGAAACCCCGUCUCUACUAAAAAAUACAAAANNNNNNNNNNUCCGCCACCUCGCCCGGCUAUUUUUUUGUAUUUUUUUUAGUAGAGACGGGGUUUCACCGUGUUAGCCAGGAUGGUCUCAAUCUCCUGACCUCGUGAUCCGCCCGUCUCGG
rnacentral:SRP_RNA from 1 species